rnacentral:rRNA from 1 species
CCUUGGCCCAGAUCGUUUACCGAGAAAAAAUUAGAGUGUCCAAAGCAGGCAGAUCCAAUUUUCUGCCACCGAAUACAUUAGCAUGGGAUAAUGGAAUAGGACCCUGUCCUCUUAUUUUCAGUUGGUUUCGGCAGCGCGAGGACUAGGGUAAUGAUUAAUAGGGAUAGUCGGGGGCAUUAAUAUUUAAUUGUCAGAGGUGAAAUUCUUGGAUUUAUGAAAGAUUAACUUAUGCGAAAGCAUCUGCCAAGGAUGUUUUCAUUAAUCAAGAACGAAAGUUAGGGGAUCGAAGACGAUCAGAUACCGUCGUAGUCUUAACCAUAAACGAUGCCGACCAGCGAUUAGGAGACGUUGAAUCCACAACACCAUCAUCGGCGCGGUCGUCCUGGCGUCGUCUUUCGUGGCCUACUCCGGACG